GUUACCUUCACACUUUUUGGUGUAGCCCAUUGAUACGAUCUUGAAAGGAGGCCAAGCCAGUCUCUCAUAUGAAAGGUGAAGACACUGGCUACCUACCAGCUUCCCAUGGAUCUGAGGCAUGAGCAUGUGGGACUAUUAAGCCAAAUUUGAAGAAAGAGAGGCAGCUGUCUAUAUGAAGAUUGGGGAAAAAAUGUUCCAGGAAAUGGGAAGAGCUUUUCCAAAGGCCCCAGCUACCAGACGUCAAGAAUCACACCUUCUCAUGUUGCACUGAAAGCAGUACAAAGUUCAACUAGAUGUUUCUAAAUACCUCU